AAUGCAAUGAUGACCAGCUUAUUCGUGAGAAGAUUCCGAAUUUUAUUUUGGAUCUUCACUGAAAUCACUGUUACGCUUGGCUUCUGAGCUCU